GGAAAAUCCCUUAUUUCAUAGCCAGCUGAUCUGGAAUGAGAGUGGCCCCAGGGAACCCCAAAUUUGUGGCUGCUAUCUGAAGUGAGAGUAGGAUGGAGAGGGAUUCCUUAGACCGUGCGGUUUGUCAGAGCUAAGAUCCUGGCACCUAAGCCAGGGCCAUGAAGGUUGGCUCAGUGUCAUCUCCACGUCUUACAGUCUCAGGUCUCAGAUCUGUGCUCCAUUUGGAAUUUGUCUUUCUAUACAGCGUGAGUUGAGGGCUUAGGGCUAUUCUUGUGGAAGGAUGUCUUGCUGUCUCCUAACCAUCAGUUCAGAAGAUUUUUCUUUCCCCUAUGAAGUUGUCUCGGGCAUUUGUCAGAGUCCCUCGGUCACAAGCAAGCCUUCUUUCCAGAAUGUCAGCUCUGCUCUGUCGAUGCUCUAUCUACACUACACCAGUACCAGGCUGGCUACACCAGUACCACACUGGCUACACCAGUACCACGCUGGCUACACCAGUACCACGCUCGCUACACCAGUACCACGCUGGCUACACCAGUACCACGCUGGCUACACCAGUACCAGGCUGGCUACACCAGUACCACGCUCGCUACACCAGUACCACGCUGGCUACACCAGUACCAGGCUGGCUACACCAGUACCACGCUCGCUACACCAGUACCAGGCUGGCUACACCAGUACCACGCUCGCUACACCAGUACCAGGCUGGCUACACCAGUACCACGCUCGCUACACCAGUACCAGGCUGGCUACACCAGUACCACACUGGCUACACCAGUACCACGCUCGCUACACCAGUACCAGGCUGGCUACACCAGUACCACGCUCGCUACACCAGUACCACGCUGGCUACACCGGUACCAGGCUCGCUACACCAGUACCACGCUGGCUACACCAGUACCAGGCUGGCUACACCAGUACCACGCUGGCUACACCAGUACCAUGCUCGCUACACCAGUACCACGCUGGCUACACCAGUACCACACUGGCUACACCAGUACCACGCUCGCUACACCAGUACCAGGCUGGCUACACCAGUACCACGCUGGCUAC
rnacentral:lncRNA from 1 species